UGGGGAAUAUUGCACAAUGGGCGCAAGCCUGAUGCAGCCAUGCCGCGUGUAUGAAGAAGGCCUUCGGGUUGUAAAGUACUUUCAGCGGGGAGGAAGGGAGUAAAGUUAAUACCUUUGCUCAUUGACGUUACCCGCAGAAGAAGCACCGGCUAACUCCGUGCCAGCAGCCGCGGUAAUACGGAGGGUGCAAGCGUUAAUCGGAAUUACUGGGCGUAAAGCGCACGCAGGCGGUUUGUUAAGUCAGAUGUGAAAUCCCCGGGCUCAACCUGGGAACUGCAUCUGAUACUGGCAGGCUAGAGUCUUGUAGAGGGGGGUAGAAUUCCAGGUGUAGCGGUGAAAUGCGUAGAGAUCUGGAGGAAUACCGGUGGCGAAGGCGGCCCCCUGGACAAAGACUGACGCUCAGGUGCGAAAGCGUGGGGAGCAAACA
rnacentral:rRNA from 1 species